GACGAAGGGGGCGAGCGUUGUUCGGAUUUACUGGGCGUAAAGGGCGCGCAGGCGGCGCAUUUUGUCAGGCGUGAAAGCCCCGGGCUUAACCUGGGAACUGCGUUUGAUACGGAUGGGCUAGAGUUCGGGAGAGGAGAGUGGAAUUCCUGGUGUAGCGGUGAAAUGCGCAGAUAUCAGGAGGAACACCUAUGGCGAAGGCAGCUUGCUGGGACGACACUGACGCUGAGACGCGAAAGCGUGGGGAGCAAACAGG
rnacentral:rRNA from 1 species